rnacentral:rRNA from 1 species
GACGAACGCUGGCGGCGUGCUUAACACAUGCAAGUCGAACGGAAAGGCCCUGCUUUUGUGGGGUGCUCGAGUGGCGAACGGGUGAGUAACACGUGAGUAACCUGCCCUUGACUUUGGGAUAACUUCAGGAAACUGGGGCUAAUACCGGAUAGGAGCUCCUGCUGCAUGGUGGGGGUUGGAAAGUUUCGGCGGUUGGGGAUGGACUCGCGGCUUAUCAGCUUGUUGGUGGGGUAGUGGCUUACCAAGGCUUUGACGGGUAGCCGGCCUGAGAGGGUGACCGGCCACAUUGGGACUGAGAUACGGCCCAGACUCCUACGGGAGGCAGCAGUGGGGAAUAUUGCACAAUGGGCGGAAGCCUGAUGCAGCAACGCCGCGUGCGGGAUGACGGCCUUCGGGUUGUAAACCGCUUUCGCCUGUGACGAAGCGUGAGUGACGGUAAUGGGUAAAGAAGCACCGGCUAACUACGUGCCAGCAGCCGCGGCGAUACGUAGGGUGCGAGCGUUGUCCGGAUUUAUUGGGCGUAAAGGGCUCGUAGGUGGUUGAUCGCGUCGGAAGUGUAAUCUUGGGGCUUAACCCUGAGCGUGCUUUCGAUACGGGUUGACUUGAGGAAGGUAGGGGAGAAUGGAAUUCCUGGUGGAGCGGUGGAAUGCGCAGAUAUCAGGAGGAACACCAGUGGCGAAGGCGGUUCUCUGGGCCUUUCCUGACGCUGAGGAGCGAAAGCGUGGGGAGCGAACAGGCUUAGAUACCCUGGUAGUCCACGCUGUAAACGGUGGGUACUAGGUGUGGGGUCCAUUCCACGGGUUCCGUGCCGUAGCUAACGCUUUAAGUACCCCGCCUGGGGAGUACGGCCGCAAGGCUAAAACUCAAAGGAAUUGACGGGGCCCCGCACAAGCGGCGGAGCAUGCGGAUUAAUUCGAUGCAACGCGUAGAACCUUACCUGGGUUUGACAUGGAUCGGGAGUGCUCAGAGAUGGGUGUGCCUCUUUUGGGGUCGGUUCACAGGUGGUGCAUGGCUGUCGUCAGCUCGUGUCGUGAGAUGUUGGGUUAAGUCCCGCAACGAGCGCAACCCUUGUUCACUGUUGCCAGCACGUUAUGGUGGGGACUCAGUGGAGACCGCCGGGGUCAACUCGGAGGAAGGUGGGGAUGACGUCAAGUCAUCAUGCCCCUUAUGUCCAGGGCUUCACGCAUGCUACAAUGGCUGGUACAGAGAGUGGCGAGCCUGUGAGGGUGAGCGAAUCUCGGAAAGUCGGUCUCAGUUCGGAUUGGGGUCUGCAACUCGACCUCAUGAAGUCGGAGUCGCUAGUAAUCGCAGAUCAGCAACGCUGCGGUGAAUACGUUCCCGGGGCU